rnacentral:rRNA from 1 species
AGUCCACAUCGACGGGGAGGUUUGGCACCUCGAUGUCGGCUCAUCACAUCCUGGGGCUGUAGUAGGUCCCAAGGGUUGGGCUGUUCGCCCAUUAAAGUGGUACGCGGGCUGGGUUCAGAACGUCGUGGGCCAGUUCGGUCCCUAUCCGUCGCAGGCGUAGGAAAUUUGAGAAGACCUGUCCUUAGUACGAGAGGACCGGGAUGGACGUACCUCUGGUGUACCAGUUGUUCUGCCAAGGGCAUGGCUGGGUAGCUAUGUACGGAAUGGAUAAGCGCUGAAAGCAUCUAAGCGCGAAGCCAACUUCAAGAUAAGAUUUCCCACCGCAAGGGUAAGACCCCAGAAAGACUAUCUGGUUGAUAGGUCGAAGGUGUAAGUGCAGCAAUGUAUUUAGCUUAUCGAUACUAAUAGGUCGAGGACUUGACCAAU